rnacentral:rRNA from 1 species
CAGUCGCCGCGGUAAUACGUAGGGUGCGAGCGUUAAUCGGAAUUACUGGGCGUAAAGCGUGCGCAGGCGGUCAUAUAAGACAGAUGUGAAAUCCCCGGGCUCAACCUGGGACCUGCAUUUGUGACUGUAUAGCUAGAGUACGGUAGAGGGGGAUGGAAUUCCGCGUGUAGCAGUGAAAUGCGUAGAUAUGCGGAGGAACACCGAUGGCGAAGGCAAUCCCCUGGACCUGUACUGACGCUCAUGCACGAAAGCGUGGGGAACAAACAGGAUUAGAUACCCCAGUAGUCCCUGUCUCUUAUAC